rnacentral:lncRNA from 1 species
ACUGGGAUGGACUGGGAUGGACUGGGAUGGACUGGGAUGGACUGGGAUGGACUGGGAUGGACUGGGAUGGACUGGGAUGGACUGGGUGCCCCUGCCGGGGUCCCUCGACAUCGACGGGGGCGGGGCCAGGCCGGGGCCAGGCCGGGGACAUUCCAGGACCCCCCUGGGGACACCUCGGGGACAUUUUGGGAACUCCAAGGGGACAUCCCGGGGACAUCCUGGGACCCUCCUGGGAAUAUCUGGGGGACACUUUGGGAACCCCCUGGGGACACCUGGGGGCACGGCCGCCAUUUUGGGCACCUUGGAGCCACCUCGGGGACCUUUUGGGGACACUUUGGGGCGUUUUGGGGACACUUUGGAGACAUUCUGGGGACACUUUGGGACGUUUUGGGGACACUUUGGGACGUUUUGGGGACAUUUUGGGGACACUUUGGGACAUUUUGGGGACACUUUGGGAUGUUUUGGGAAGACUUUGGGACCUUUUGGAGACACUUUGGGACGUUUAGGGGACACUUUGAGGAGACUUUGGGACAUUUUGGGGACACUUUGGGACUUUUGGGAAGACUUUGGGACCUUUUGGGGACACUUUGGGACCUUUUGGGGACACUUUGGGACGUUUUGGGCCCCCCCACUGAGCACAGACUGAGGCCACGCCCCUUUCCCCGCCCCUCUUUAUUCCCGACCAAUCGGCGCCUCUGCAGCGCCUCAGGGGGGCGGAGCCUCGGCCCCGGGCCCCUCCCCCUCCCCCGCGGUGGGCGGGGCCUCCUCGGCGGUGGGCGGGGCCUCCUCGGCGGUGGGUGUGGCCUCCUCGGCGGUGGGCGUGGCCUCCUCGGCGGUGGGCGUGGCCUGCAGGGCGUGGGCGGCAGCACGCCAGCGCCGCAGCCAAUGGGAGAAGGGGGCGUGGCCGGGGGGCGUGGCCAGGGCCCACUGAGCCGGCUGGGACCACCUGGGGAGGGGCGGGGUCAGCGCAGGGGGCGGGGCCUGCCUCCCCAAGCCCCUCCCCCUUUCCCAUCCAGGCCCCGCCCCCUGGCUCACCAUUGGCCGACGAGCUCUUGGAGGCGGGGCCAGUCGUCGAUUCGCUGCCGGCAGCUGGCGCCGACCAAUCGCAGCCGGGGCAGCAGCUCGGCCACGCCCUCGGGGAGGGGCGGGGCCGGCUCUGGCCCCGCCCCCGGGGCCGGCCCCGCCCCCCGGCGCGCCCGCAGCGCCCCCUGGCGGAGCUGCUGCCGCAAGAUGGCCGCCCGGGACAGCAGCGCCCCCCCCGGGGGGGGGGGCGGGGGGGGGGGGGGGAAUGGCCACGCCCCCAACCCCGAGGGAGACCCCCCAAAACCGGGCGGGGCCCUCCCCCACCCCCAAACUCCUCCCCCUCUUCCCGCCCCUCCCCCCCUUCAAGCCAUUUAAGCCCCUCCCAACUUUAAGCCCCUCCCCCAUUCAGGCCCCUCCCCACUUUAAUCCCCUCCCCCUCUCUAUAAGCCCUUUAAGCCCCUCCCCCAUUCAAUCUCCUUUAAGCCCCUCCCCACUUCAGCCCCUUCCGUUUUAGCCCCUCCCCCAUUUCUCCCCUCCCUCCUCAAGUCCCUCCCCCAUCCAAGCCCCUCCCACGUAGCCCCACCCC